rnacentral:tRNA from 1 species
AGAAAUAUGUCUGAUAAUAGAGUUACUUUGAUAGAGUAAAUCAUA